rnacentral:rRNA from 1 species
GAUGAACGCUGGCGGCGUGCCUAAUACAUGCAAGUCGAGCGAACAGACGAGGAGCUUGCUCCUCUGACGUUAGCGGCGGACGGGUGAGUAACACGUGGAUAACCUACUUAUAAGACUGGGAUAACUUCGGGAAACCGGAGCUAAUCCCGGAUAAUAUAUUGAACCGCAUGGUUCAAUAGUGAAAGUCGGUUUUGCUGUCACUUAUAGAUGGAUCCGCGCCGCAUUAGCUAGUUGGUAAGGUAACGGCUUACCAAGGCGACGAUGCGUAGCCGACCUGAGAGGGUGAUCGGCCACACUGGAACUGAGACACGGUCCAGACUCCUACGGGAGGCAGCAGUAGGGAAUCUUCCGCAAUGGGCGAAAGCUUGACGGAGCAACGCCGCGUGAGUGAUGAAGGUCUUCGGAUCGUAAAACUCUGUUAUUAGGGAAGAACAAAUGUGUAAGUAACUAUGCACGUCUUGACGGUACCUAAUCAGAAAGCCACGGCUAACUACGUG